rnacentral:ncRNA from 1 species
GCUUUCCUUCGGGGUGGGGUGUAAUUCCCAACCGGCGGUGAUCGGCUAACAGACGUGUGCGGUUCCAACCGGGCGUUCGUUAUCCGUCAGUCCGUGACCCGGACCUGCAAUGUUUUCGAUGCUCAACCGAUGAGAGAAAACGUGCGGCGAAGGUGGAUCCGGUGCAAUUCCGGGACCGACAGUAUAGUCUGGAUGGGAGAAGGAGACG